rnacentral:rRNA from 1 species
UACGUAGGGAGCAAGCGUUGUCCGGAAUCAUUGGGCGUAAAGCGCGCGUAGGUGGCCCAGUAAGUCCGUUCUGAAAGUCACAGGCUCAACCUGUGAAAGCGGAUGGAUACUGCUGGGCUAGAGUCCGGAAGAGGCGAGUGGAAUUCCUGGUGUAGCGGUGGAAUGCGCAGAUAUCAGGAGGAACACCAACGGCGAAGGCAGCUCGCUGGGACGGUACUGACACUGAGGCGCGACAGCGUGGGGAGCAAACAGG